GUUGAUUGUAGCUGCAGUCGUGAUGUGUUUCAUCUGCUGGAAAUAUAGAAAAACAGUCCAGACACAAGUGGAAGACAGAACCGAACCAGCAUUGUUUAAACCAACUAAAGGAAAAAUGAAACCAAUGGAGCAGCCCGUGUAUGAAAAUGUCCCCGCAAGAAGAUGAUUAAAUAUUUACUUGAAUUAUUAGUGUCAUGCAUCACACCUUUUCUUUUUCACAUUUAUUCUCUGGCUGGAUGUCUAUAUUUAUUUAUUUUUUUCCGACCACAUGAACAUACAUUGUUCAAAUAGCGUUUCAAAUGUUGCUUUUCUCUGUUGUAGUUUAACGGUGCACAAAUAGCAUACAGAAACUCAACUUAAAUGUUACAUGGUCUCAUCUUUAGGGAGUUUAUAGAGCUUUCAACAUGAAAUAUUGGUCAAUUACUAUCAUCUAGCGUGUAGCAUGAUGACAAAACUCACUGAAAACCAAACUAAACACAAACAUACCUGGGUUAAAACCGAAACGAUUCGUGCAACAGGCCUCACAAUGACAACACGUGACAUUCAUGUCCUCAAACACUUUACAAAGUUUUUUUUUUUUUUUUUUUUUUUUUUUGGAGUGAAUGGCGUGAAAGCACCUCAGUCUCAUUUCCUUGUUCCAUACAAAUAUCAAUUGUUUUUCAGAAUUGUUCCAAUUUCCUUUUUUUGAGGACAGUGGCCUCUGAUAGCAUACUAGUUUUACUUUAAUAGCAAUCACUAGGUCUAUAAUAACUGUUGCAGUUUACCAACUGUGUACAUUUUUUUUGCAUCACACAGCAUGUGCUUAUUCUAAACUUCCUGGUAUUGCAUGAAUGGGACCUGCAUAAAGCAGUAAGCAUGAUGUAGUCUAGUGCUCCAUCUAGUGUCAUAAUCAAGAUUAUUCCAAAAAUAUGAUUAAGGUUUGGUGCAUU